CAAGGACAAACAGUCUGGUGCAUGCCCUGGUGAUCGGCCAUUUCGUGUCAAUCUCGAACCAAGAGGGACUGGCGUCAUUUUGGAAUGGCUGUGUCCCUUUGGAUACACUGUGUGGCAGUGGAAUUCACAGCCACCACACAAAUUUGGCAUGCAGGGGGGUGAUUUUAUGCUGUCCAUGAACAUUCUGCUGUCAGGCAACAAUUACCGAAAAAGUGGCCCUCCUUUUCAAAUUUAUGAACAUGGGGAUGGCUGCAGAGGGCACACUCUUCAGGGUGCAGGAUGCAUACUGCAUAGAGCCCGUGCAGGAAUACUGGGAGAAAACCAGGGCAGAAGUCAUAGAGCGCUUACAUCAAAAGGACCAUGUUGUUGUCUUAGGUGAUGGCAGAAUGGAUUCUCCUGGUAAGUUCUGUAAUGUAAAGUAUGUUGAUUUUGGUUAUGAGUAUUUCCACUGUUGGAGUGCUGAAAAGCUGUACGUACUUUGCAGGUCAUUGUGCCCAGUUUUGCACCUACACCACUGUAGAGUAAGACUCCAGAGAUAUAGUUUAUGUUGUUUCGGUGGACAAACGUGAGACUAGCCAAAAUUCUGUUAUCAUGGAGAGGGAGUGCUUUAUGAGGACCAUGGAUGUGUUUCUCCAGGAACUUCCAGUUAAAGAAGUGGUCACUGAUGCCCACCCCCAGAUCUCU